UACGACAUAAAACACACCCGAAUACUAAAAACACUGUUUAAAAUUCAAAGAACUUGGCGGUGUCUUAUACAAUCAGGGGAACCUGUCCCUAAAAUCGAUAAUCCACGAGUGUCUUACCUUUUCUUGUAAAUCAGCUUGUGUACUGCCGUCGCAUGUAUACCUCUAAGAGUUAGCAUACAAAAAUAACUACUAUUGACGUCAGGUCAAAGUGCAGCCUAUGAAAAGGGGGAGAUGGGUUACAACUUUAAACCAAGCCAACCACUAAUAAAAAUUAGUAUUAAAGAUGGACUUGAAAGUAAUGAUUUUACUGUACAAUCAUGAAUUGUUAUCUAAGACAUGCACACAUCGCCCGUCACUCUCGUCGAAAGAUG
rnacentral:rRNA from 1 species